CCUACGGGGGGCUGCAGUGGGGAAUAUUGGACAAUGGGCGAAAGCCUGAUCCAGCCAUGCCGCGUGUGUGAAGAAGGCCUUCGGGUUGUAAAGCACUUUCAGUGGGGAAGAAAGCCUUGGGGCUAAUACCCUCGAGGAAGGACAUCACCCACAGAAGAAGCACCGGCUAACUCCGUGCCAGCAGCCGCGGUAAUACGGAGGGUGCGAGCGUUAAUCGGAAUUACUGGGCGUAAAGCGCGCGUAGGCGGUCUGAUAAGCCGGUUGUGAAAGCCCCGGGCUCAACCUGGGAACGGCAUCCGGAGAGGUCAGGCUAGAGGGCAGGAGAGAAAGGUGAAAUCCCGGGGGGAGCGGGGAAAUGCGUAGAGAGCGGGAGGAAUACGGGGGGCGAAGGCGGCCUUCGGAACUGAAACUGACGCUGGGGUGCGAAAGCGUGGGUAGAAAACAGGAUUAGAUACCCUGGUAGUC
rnacentral:rRNA from 1 species